GGCCCAUUUAUGACAGUCAGACUCCAUUACAGGCUCAGCUGAGGACACAUCUGGAACCCAUUUCCUGCCAGGGGGAUCCAUGGAUGGCGAGCCGUAGUCAGCAUUCAGCUGAGCCUCUCCUGUCUGGCUGUCGGCUGCCUCUUCUGGCCAGAGCCUAAGAACGUGGCUGCUAGUGAAAGUGUUUAUGUGUUUAUGUGACCACAGCUUUAGGUAACAGACAAGAAACAGUCAGAAUUAAGACAGCCUGAAGAGGAAGGAGCCCUGGAGCCCCUCCAGGCUGGAUGACCAGCCCUCUGUGGAGAUGUCAGCAGGCCAGAACCAGAAGGAUCGAACACAGGCGAGUUUUCCAGCAGAGCAAAUACAGAAACAGAAGUGAGAGUCCAGCUAUCUUCUAUCAAGCCAGAAAAGAGUGAGAUUUACAAAACUGUCAGCAACAAACUACCCCCCCCAAAAAAACCAAUGCUAUCCUUUUCGCUCGUGUUUUUUUUGUGUUGAAAAAUAUACUUAUUGUUUGCA